AUUGAACGCUGGCGGCAUGCUUUACACAUGCAAGUCGAACGGCAGCGCGGGCUUCGGCCUGGCGGCGAGUGGCGAACGGGUGGGUAAUACAUCGGAACGUGCCCAGUAGUGGGGGAUAGCUCGGCGAAAGCCGGAUUAAUACCGCAUACGACCUGAGGGUGAAAGCGGGGGAUCUUCGGACCUCGCGCUAUUGGAGCGGCCGAUGGCAGAUUAGCUAGUUGGUGGGGUAAAGGCCUACCAAGGCGACGAUCUGUAGCUGGUCUGAGAGGACGACCAGCCACACUGGGACUGAGACACGGCCCAGACUCCUACGGGAGGCAGCAGUGGGGAAUUUUGGACAAAGGGCGAAAGCCUGAUCCAGCAAUGCCGCGUGUGUGAUGAAGGCCUUCGGGUUGUAAAGCACUUUUGGCGGGAACGAAAAGGACUGUGCCAAUACCACGGUUCGAUGACGGUACCCGCAGAAUAAGCACCGGCUAACUACGUG
rnacentral:rRNA from 1 species